rnacentral:rRNA from 1 species
AGGGUUCGAUCCUGGCUCAGGAUGAACGCUAGCGGCAGGCUUAACACAUGCAAGUCGAGGGGUAACAGGUAGCUUGCUAUGCUGACGACCGGCGAACGGGUGCGUAACGCGUAUAGAAUCUGCCUUGUACAGGAGGAUAGCCUUUAGAAAUGAAGAUUAAUACUCCAUAAUGUUAUUAGAUGGCAUCGUUUAAUAAUUAAAGAUUUAUCGGUACGAGAUGACUAUGCGUCCUAUUAGUUAGAUGGUAAGGUAACGGCUUACCAUGGCAUCGAUAGGUAGGGGGUCUGGGAGGAUUAUCCCCCACACUGGUACUGAGACACGGACCAGACUCCUACGGGAGGCAGCAGUGAGGAAUAUUGGACAAUGGGCGAGAGCCUGAUCCAGCCAUGCCGCGUGCAGGAAGACGGUCCUAUGGAUUGUAAACUGCUUUUAUACAGGAAGAAACUGCUCUACGUGUAGAGUACUGACGGUACUGUAAGAAUAAGCACCGGCUAACUCCGUGCCAGCAGCCGCGGUAAUACGGAGGGUGCAAGCGUUAUCCGGAAUCAUUGGGUUUAAAGGGUCCGCAGGCGGUUAAUUAAGUCAGAGGUGAAAUCCCAUCGCUUAACGAUGGAACUGCCUUUGAUACUGGUUGACUUGAGUCAUAUGGAAGUAGAUAGAAUAAGUAGUGUAGCGGUGAAAUGCUUAGAGAUUACUUAGAAUACCGAUUGCGAAGGCAGUCUACUACGUAUGUACUGACGCUCAUGGACGAAAGCGUGGGGAGCGAACAGGAUUAGAUACCCUGGUAGUCCACGCCGUAAACGAUGGAUACUAGUUGUUGGGAUUUAUUUCAGUGACUAAGCGAAAGUGAUAAGUAUCCCACCUGGGGAGUACGUUCGCAAGAAUGAAACUCAAAGGAAUUGACGGGGGCCCGCACAAGCGGUGGAGCAUGUGGUUUAAUUCGAUGAUACGCGAGGAACCUUACCAGGGCUUAAAUGUAGAUUGACAGGACCAGAGAUGGUUUUUUCUUCGGACAAUUUACAAGGUGCUGCAUGGUUGUCGUCAGCUCGUGCCGUGAGGUGUCAGGUUAAGUCCUAUAACGAGCGCAACCCCUAUUGUUAGUUGCUAGCAGGUAAAGCUGAGGACUCUAACGAGACUGCCGGUGCAAACCGUGAGGAAGGUGGGGAUGACGUCAAAUCAUCACGGCCCUUACGUCCUGGGCUACACACGUGCUACAAUGGUAUGGACAAUGAGCAGCCACAACGCGAGUUGGAGCGAAUCUAUAAACCAUAUCACAGUUCGGAUCGGAGUCUGCAACUCGACUCCGUGAGGCUGGAAUCGCUAGUAAUCGGAUAUCAGCCAUGAUCCGGUGAAUACGUUCCCGGGCCUUGUACACACCGCCCGUCAAGCCAUGGAAGCUGGGGGUGCCUGAAGUCGGUCACCGAGAGGAGCCGCCUAGGGUAAAACUGGUAACUAGGGCUAAGUCGUAACAAGGUAGCC